UUUUCGCAAUGCCCGAAAGGGUGACGAAGCGACGCCGCGUGGAUGAAGAAGGCCUUCGGGUUGUAAAAUCCUGUCAGGAGUUAAGAAAUAUAAGUUUGAUAAUACCAAAUUUAUUUGACAAAGGCUCCAGAGGAAGCCACGGCUAACUCUGUGCCAGCAGCCGCGGUAAUACAGAGGUGGCAAGCGUUGUUCGGAAUUAUUGGGCGUAAAGAGCACGUAGGUGGAUUUGUUAGUCAGAUGUGAAAGCCUUUCGUUCAACGGAAGAAUUGCAUCUGAAACUACAAACCUUGAGUAUAGGAGGGGAGAGUGGAACUUCUGGUGGAGCGGUGAAAUGCGUAGAUAUCAGAAGGAACGCCGGCGGCGAAAGCGACUCUCUGGCCUAUAACUGACACUGAGUGUGCGAAAGCUAGGGGAGCAAACGGGAUUAGAUACCCCGGUAGUCCUAGCCGUAAACGAUGGGCACUAAGUAGAGGGGUUUUAAUC
rnacentral:rRNA from 1 species